GGCCUUUUGUUAUUAUUUAAGGUCUGACCUGCUCAAUGAAAUUUUAAAUGGCCGCGGUAUUUUGACCGUGCAAAGGUAGCAUAAUCAUUAGUUUUUUAAUUGAAAGCUGGCAUGAAAGGUCGAAUGAGAAAAAAUCUGUCUCUUGGAAAUUUUAUUAGAAUUUUAUUUUUAAGUAAAAAAGCUUAAAUAAUGUUUAAAGACGAGAAGACCCUUUAGAGUUUUAUAUAAAUUAAUAAUUUAGAAUUUUAGAAUUUAUAAUUUAAAUUAGGAAUUUAUAUUUAAUUGGGGUGAUUGAAAAAUUUAAUGAACUUUUUUUUAUUAAACCAUUAAUUUAUGAAUAAUUGAUCCGUUUUUAGCGAUUAUAAGAAUAAAUUACCUAAGGGAUAACAGCGUUAUUUUUUUUGAGAGUUCAAAUCGAAAAAAAAGAUUGCGACCUCGAUGUUGGAUUAAAAUUAAAUUAUGGUGCAGUAGUCAUAAAUUUAAGUCUGUUCGACUUUUAAAAUUUUACA
rnacentral:rRNA from 2 species